rnacentral:rRNA from 1 species
UACGGAGGGUGCAAGCGUUGUUCGGAAUCACUGGGCGUAAAGCGCACGUAGGCGGACUCACAGGUCAAUUGUGAAAUACCUGGGCUCAACCCGGGAACUGCAGUUGAAACCGUUUGUCUUGAAUACCUGAGAGGGUGGGGGAAUACCUGGUGGAGAAGUGAAAUUCGUAGAGAUCAGGUGGAACACCGGAGGCGAAGGCGCCUGCCUGGCAGUGUAUUGACGCUGAGGUGCGAAAGUGCGGGGAGCAAACAGG